UACGAAGGGGGCUAGCGUUGCUCGGAAUUACUGGGCGUAAAGGGAGCGUAGGCGGCAAUGCAAGUCGGGCGUGAAAUCCCACGGCUCAACCGUGGAAGUGCACUCGAAACUGCAUAGCUAGAGUCCUGGAGAGGAAGGUGGAAUGCUUGGUGUAGAGGUGAAAUUCGUAGAUAUCAAGCGGAACACCGGUGGCGAAGGCUGCCUUCUGGACAGUGACUGACGCUGAGACGCGAAAGCGUGGGGAGCAAACAGG
rnacentral:rRNA from 1 species